rnacentral:tRNA from 1 species
UAGUCUAGUGGUUAAGGCAAUGGAUCGCCAAUCCGGAGACGGCGGGUUCGAUUCCCGU